rnacentral:rRNA from 1 species
AUUGAACGCUGGCGGAAUGCCUUACACAUGCAAGUCGAACGGUAACAGGUUAUGCUGACGAGUGGCGAACGGGUGAGUAAUAUAUCGGAACGUGCCCAGUCGUGGGGGAUAACGUAGCGAAAGCUACGCUAAUACCGCAUACGAUCUACGGAUGAAAGCGGGGGAUCGCAAGACCUCGCGCGAUCGGAGCGGCCGAUAUCAGAUUAGGUUGUUGGGGAGGUAAAAGCUCACCAAGUCUGCGAUCUGUAGCUGGUCUGAGAGGACGACCAGCCACACUGGAACUGAGACACGGUCCAGACUCCUACGGGAGGCAGCAGUGGGGAAUUUUGGACAAUGGACGCAAGUCUGAUCCAGCAAUGCCGCGUGCAGGACGAAGGCCUUCGGGUUGUAAACUGCUUUUGUACGGAACGAAACGGUGAGCUCUAAUACAGUUUGCUAAUGACGGUGCCGUAAGAAUAAGCACCGGCUAACUACGUGCCAGCCGCCGCGGUAA